rnacentral:rRNA from 1 species
AGCGAACGCUGGCGGCAGGCCUAACACAUGCAAGUCGAACGGAUCCUUCGGGAUUAGUGGCGGACGGGUGAGUAACACGUGGGAACGUGCCCUUUGGUUCGGAACAACUCAGGGAAACUUGAGCUAAUACCGGAUGUGCCCUUCGGGGGAAAGAUUUAUCGCCAUUGGAGCGGCCCGCGUCUGAUUAGCUAGUUGGUGAGGUAAAGGCUCACCAAGGCGACGAUCAGUAGCUGGUCUGAGAGGAUGAUCAGCCACAUUGGGGCUGAGACACGGCCCAAACUCCUACGGGAGGCAGCAGUGGGGAAUCUUGCGCAAUGGGCGAAAGCCUGACGCAGCCAUGCCGCGUGAAUGAUGAAGGUCUUAGGAUUGUAAAAUUCUUUCACCGGGGACGAUAAUGACGGUACCCGGAGAAGAAGCCCCGGCUAACUUCGUGCCAGCCGCCGCGGUAA